rnacentral:rRNA from 1 species
GACGAACGCUGGCGGCGUGCUUAACACAUGCAAGUCGAACGGUGAUGCUCCAGCUUGCUGGAGUGGAUCAGUGGCGAACGGGUGAGUAACACGUGAGCAACCUGCCCCAGACUCUGGAAUAAGCGCUGGAAACGGCGUCUAAUACUGGAUACGAAACUGGCCCGCAUGGGCAUGGUUUGGAAAGUUUUUCUGUUUGGGAUGGGCUCGCGGCCUAUCAGCUUGUUGGUGAGGUAAUGGCUCACCAAGGCGACGACGGGUAGCCGGCCUGAGAGGGCGACCGGCCACACUGGGACUGAGGCACGGCCCAGACUCCUACGGGAGGCAGCAGUGGGGAAUAUUGCACAAUGGGCGCAAGCCUGAUGCAGCGACGCCGCGUGAGGGAUGACGGCCUUCGGGUUGUAAACCUCUUUCAGCAGGGAAGAAGCGAAAGUGACGGUACCUGCAGAAGAAGCACCGGCUAACUACGUG